rnacentral:rRNA from 1 species
GACGAACGCUGGCGGCGUGCUUAACACAUGCAAGUCGAACGGUAAGGCCCUUCGGGGUACACGAGUGGCGAACGGGUGAGUAACACGUGGGUGAUCUGCCCUGCACUUCGGGAUAAGCCUGGGAAACUGGGUCUAAUACCGGAUAGGACCCUGGGAUGCAUGUCCUGGGGUGGAAAGCUUUUGUGGUGUGGGAUGGGCCCGCGGCCUAUCGGCUUGUUGGUGGGGUGAUGGCCUACCAAGGCGACGACGGGUAGCCGGCCUGAGAGGGUGACCGGCUACACUGGGACUGAGAUACGGCCCAGACUCCUACGGGAGGCAGCAGUGGGGAAUAGUGCACAAUGGGCGCAAGCCUGAUGCAGCGACGCCGCGUGAGGGAUGACGGCCUUCGGGUUGUAAACCUCUUUCAGCACCGACGAAGCGCAAGUGACGGUAGGUGCAGAAGAAGGACCGGCCAACUACGUGCCAGCCGCCGCCGUAA